GUCGUGCCCGCGCCCCGCGGCGCAGCCCCAGCCCCGCGGCGUGUUUACAUCGCUCGGGAGCGCGCUGGGAGAGCCCUCGGUACAGCGUUGCUCUCCAGAGCCCUGGGUAAAAUGGAAGACAAAAGCAUUGAUCUGAACUCGUCAUGGCAGGGAGCUUUCUGCUGGUGUUUCUGUUCGUUUGUUUGCUUUGUUUUUGUUGUUUUGUUGGGGUUUUUUUCCCCUCUGAGUAUUUCAGCAUUACUUUAAACAAUAUAAAGCCUAUUCAGUUGUUGGGAAGAAAACUCUAGACUUUAUUUUUUAUUUUUUUUUUGCAUGUUGACUUACUUCGUUUCUAGUGAAAAACUUUGGGUAUGUUUGUAAUGGAUAAGAGUAAAGACAAGACGUAGUGAGCAGGCAGUUGUGCAAGCUCAGUGUUGUGAUAACAAAACCCUUUGUUACUGGAAAAUCCCUGGGCAUUAAAAUGGAAAGGAACUUUAAUGGUGGAAGUUUGGGGGUUUGGGGUUUGUUUUUAUUUGUUUGUUUUUGGUGUUUUGUUGGUUUUUUUUGUUUGUGUACUUUUUGUGUGUUUACUAUUGAAGUCUGGAGUAGAAGUGGGUAACCUGAUUUGCAUAGGCCGGGUGCUGCCCACAUAGCAUUCUGGCUUCCCAGGGAUCUGCAGUGGGUGCUUCCAGCUGUAGGAGCAGGGCCUCUGCCUGACCUACCCAGUUCUGAUUGUUGGUUUCACCUUUCAAUUCUUGUGUCUUACCUCACUAUUAUUUUAGACUUCACAAUCCAAAUCUGUUAUGAGUGUUUGACCAUUAUUGUUAGUGGUUUUAUUUUUUAGUUGAGUGCAUUAGUUUUGAUGGGAAGUAUUUUAGCCUAACUGUAAAGAUAAGUAUGGAGUAAGAUGUUUGAAGUACUUCAGAUGACAAAACACUGCAUUCUGUACUUCAUGGUAACUGUACUGCUAUUAGUUUGUGCAAUUAAAUUACACUACAACACAGAGUGUUUACUUCCAUUUUACUGAAUUCUCAUAUUACAAAAUACAGUAAUUUUUAGGUUGCAGAAGGAGUUUCCUUCAGAACCUCUGUCUCUCUCUUUGUUAGCAUUUAAAAAUUAAAUGCUGCUAGAGCCAAAAAGCUCAGAUGUUUAAUUACUCAGUAUAUUUAACAGCAAAAAGCUCUGUAAUGAUACAACUCCUGUAACUAGGAGAAAAAAAUUGCCAUCAUUGACAUACUUCUGGGAAAGACCAGGAUUCACUUAGCAUGAAAGACUGAUAAUAUAUGGGCACUAUACAAAUAAUUAAUUAUUAGAAACAAUGUUUGGUUUACUGUCAGUGAAUGUUGAUUGUAAUCUAUUCAUAUGAUACAUGGCAACUAAAAACUAAAGAAAUAUAAAAUGUGAUGGAGUUUUAAUGUUUUGAAUUUUUUAUUUGCAUUGUUGAACCAUUGCAUUUGCAUAGUUGUUUUCUAGUUUUGCAUGUUAAGUGUUCUCAGUAGCUUGUCUUCCAGACUAUAGCACACUGAACAUGAACUUGUUUGAAGGGAUAACAGAAGAAUAUCCAGCUUUGAAUUCUAAAGGUGAUGUUAUGCCCUUGAUCCAUGCAUGGAGCUUUUGGAAUUGUGUGGAUCAAGGGCAUACUAAGGUCCCUGGAAGAACAAUGAAGGGUAACACAGCUUCCCCUGAUAACUAUACUUACUAGUUCAUGAAGUGUAAUUUGAAACCUCUUGCACUGUCUAUGGUCAGCGCAGUAAAUGCUGCUCACCCAACUAUGGCACUUAGAUUCUUCUCAUUUAUUGUAGCUUUCCAUUAUAGUCAAAUAUCUUUAUUACUUGUUACUUAACUUAGGAAAUGAAGUGGAAUAAAACCAUGAGUAUGUGAACGCCAGUAGCAGAUGAGAGCAAAUGUUUUGAAGUAUUUCUGGGCUGAAGCUGCAGGUGAAUGAAAUCUGAGUGGUAGUGGUUUCUUAAGCUGGGUCACCAGAAGAGGAAAUCGGGCUUGUGUAGCAGACAGGGCAAGAUACAUUGUGUAUACAGAAGAUGGAAAAGUUUCAGUGUACUCCAUUAGGGGUUUAUUUCUAUGGCCUUCUCUUUCAGGUUCUCCUAAUAGGCAUUGGGUUUUGACUGGAGGACCAAAACCAAAAGUUUUCCUUUGGUAAUGAGAUGCUUCAGGAUUCUGGCUCCAUUUUGAACUUCAUUUGUUUUAAAUGCUUUCACAGUUUUCCACAGGGCACCCCAACCUACAAAUUCUGAGGGCAUUUUAGAAUAGUAAUAUGAAAGAUGAAAAAUCUUUCAUCUGAUAUCUGGAGAGACACAGUUAUCAGUUGCCAUAAAAGUUGCUCUAAUUCCUCAUCCUAAUAUCAAUUUAAUUAUUCUCUUCAUUUUCUGUUGGGAUUUUUUUCAGCUUCUCAAUUUACAGUAGUUGAGAACUUUUGCAACCUAGAAGUUAAAAAUAUCAACAUGUAGUAAAUUACAUUUUUUUAAAAAGGCCACAGGAAAUCUUCUUUAACUUGUUGCAAUUAAUGUAGUAAAAUCAUAGCUUUAUUAUUAUUCAUUAUCUUGAAAUAAUUUGUGAAAGUAACAUGAAACACAAGUACAACACAUCUGAAGUUUAAAAAAGGUCACGUAACUUUUUAAUUUGUCAAGUGAAUCUGGUACUUUCAAAAUCAUUGAUUUUACAUGAAACAGGAAUAUUUUAUCUUUUCUAGAACUACUUUCCAAACUAGAAUGAAUGUCAGCCCUGCAAAACUAUAUAGUUUGUAGAAAGUUUUGUGUGUGUUUUACUUCAGGUAACACAAUAAUACAGAUUUUAAAAUUAAUUAUGAUGUAUGGCUCUGAAUUAUUUGUCCUAUUAGAUAUGCAAAGGAAUGUCAUACACAGCAGCAAGAGGUUUGGCUAUAAAUUAAUAGUAAUCCCACUUAAUGUUUUGUUUGUGGUUUUUGUUGGGUUGUUUCCCGCCACAGAUUCAAUAGUACUUAGGUGUGAUGUCUUAUUUCUUUGUUACCACCAGACUGGAUAAGAGACCAGGUGAUUAGAAUAUACUCCUUAGGUACUGGAAGAUUUGUAAACCUUCUCUUCUUCCAAUAAAUCUUGAUGAUGUGGGCUUGGCUUCUGAAUUUUAUUUUCUGGGAUUCAGAUGGUCUUUGCUGCUUUUUCUGUGGCAGUAUGUGGUACCAAGUUGCUCUUAAAAUGUAUUUUUAAAGGAAACUAUACAUAAUUUUCAAAUCAUGAUUCUGUACAUGUAUCUUCUUACCUAGUAGCCAGAUCUCCAGUUCUGUUAGUCCAGCAUGAUUUUACUAACUUUGACUUCUGUGGUCUUUAAAUAGCCAAGUACAGCAUAUGUGAUGUGUAUUCUGCAUGUGAGUUUUAUGUUCAUUCACUCCUCCUUCUCCUCAAAGUGUUCCCUACAGUAGCUUCAGUAUGACAGAGUUCCCAUUAUAGUCAAUUCUUUGCUUUUUAACUCUUAUAAUUAUUCUUUAAGUAGUGCUUCUUUGAAGUGUGCUUGACAGGAAGAUGCAGUCUUCUACUUUUUCUUUUUCCUGUAGAUUUUAACAUCCUCUGGGUUCAUUUCUUAAAAACUAAGGGUUUGUUUUUUUCAUAUUUUUCAUGUGUAUUCACUGCUGGGUCAUUCUGUUGUAUUUUCUUGCUGAAGACCAAAAGAGACCACAAGUGUAGCUCUUGUUAAGACUAGAUGAGACAAGGCUCUAUCACUGCUGACCUUGGUUAGAUUAAAAUUGGUGAAGUAGAGGUGAAAAGCCCUGUAUCCAUUGCUAUCCCAAGGUAGCUGAUUCCCUGUCACUUUUCCAGAGACUCUUGCCUUGAGUGUUUUUGAUCAGAGUGUAGUUUUAUUCAACAGAAAGUAUCUUUUUUCUUUUGCUCAUUAUGUUUAGCUCUCCAGUUUUGAAAUGGGUAGCUUUUGGAGCCUUGUGCUUGGAUCAGAACAUCAGCUAAAAUAUCUGUUGUAUAAAGACUAAUUAACAAUAUAUAUUGGAGUGAUGCUGGAAUGGUCUGCAUGAAUAACAUCUCUAAAGCAACGUAUGCAAAGCUUAUUUCCCACUAGGUUGUGGUUGUAUCCUCUAUUAAUUAGAUAGGUUUCAGCAAUAAGAAAAAAAAGAAAUAGUUGUAAUUACUUGCUGAAGAAAUACCUGAAAAUCCCUCUGCAGUAAUCACCAACGUAAGACUACCAGUAUGCACUGUGUGGAGAGAGGCACCAUCUGAAAAUUCUGCUUUAAUUAAAAACAAAAUGCUUCACAGCUUGGACUAGCAAAGAGAGAGGUUAUCACUCAUUAAAGAUAGCCACGUGGUAGCAUAACAAAAGGUCAGAAGGGCCUCCAAGUGAUAAAUUGGUUUGUAUUUAGCUGUUGUGGUUAGGCCUUUAUUACAGGCUCAGACUACUUGAAAGACAGAGUAUUUUAAAUUACUUGGCAUUCCCUUCUUGCUGGGUUUGUUUAGUGUUUGUUCAUCUACCCAUCCACAUAAGCAGAAGUUGCAGAAGUGACAUAAUCUAAAGUAGGUUAUGUAGAUAAUAUUAUUAUAGAUUAUGUAGAUAAAUCUUGAAUAAUGCUGGGAUUUCUCAUAUUCUUUCAAGUCACUUUGUUCCUUAGCCUAAUUAAGGCUAUGCUGUGCUGCAAAAAUGAAGCUCUCAUUGCAGAAUUCUGCAAGGAGCAGAAUGUAAGGAGGCAGCAGUGCAGCUUACGGUGUGGAGUGGAAGGCUCUGCUCUUUUCCCCACCACACUGGCAGUGUGUGGUGAAGACACACCACAGUCUUCAGACAGUGAAACUUCUUCUGGAGCUGACACAUCCCUUCUUUGGACAGAGCUCGUUUGGAAAGACUUUUGGACGGACGUCAGAUUUUGUUUUCUGCCUGCAUCAUUUCUAGACAUCAUAAGGGACUUGUUUGUCCAGAUUCCUUUUUUUUUUCCAAAAUACAGUGGUUGGUUUAAUAAAGAAUAUUGUUUCUGCUAUACAGUUCCAGAUCAGAUCUGAGUAACUGGUUUGGUUUGUUUUAUUUAAUCAGUGCUUCUAGCAUUUAAGCUUGCAAAGUUUUCAGUGUUAGGAACCUUGAGUCAGUGGGGAUUUUCUUUAUAAACUUGUGAAAUCUAGGGCUAAAACUUGGUAAAAAGUCUACCCUCCAGUGCUGCUCUCAAGCUUUGCCUUUGUUUCAGAUACAAGGUGCUAUUUCAUAAGCAUUUCUUUCAUUUGCAGGUCUGCUUUUCUAUCCCCAGCUACUUCUUUUCCUGCCUCUGUGCCCUCAAGUGUGCUGGAGUAACUGUUUAUGAGACAGCAAGGUGAACUGAAUUUGAGAUUGAUCUAGGUUAAAAAUAACCCUACAAAAAAGGGAAAGCAGGAGGGACUUCAGUUAACCUGGAUUUGGCUUCCUGAUCCAGUUCACUGCAGCCACACAAGCAGUUGUACCAGUGCAGGUGGGAUAUGGCACAGAGAAGAGAGUGGAUAGCAGGCAUUAAAUAGGAGCUGUCUGACCUACUGCUGUUGCCAAAAGGAGAGCUGUGAUUUCAGGCUGUACUGCAAGUAUUUUCCUACCAUAAGCAGUUUCUCUGCUGUGAGGUAGAAAUGCUUCCUGGGAAAUGGGAAAGAGAACAAAGUAGCAGUGGAGCUCUGAGGAGGUAAGUGAAGUAAGGAGUGUGUUGUCUUAGAGUUGCAAAACUAGAAGAAAAAUUCAGUUUGGUUUUUUGUUGGGUUUUUGGUUGGUUGGUUGGUUGGUUUCUUGUUUUUUUUUUAACCUUCCCCUUCAAUGUUUGGGAAAGGAUUACACACAUUUUACUUCUUUGUGUUAUCAUGGUGUUCAGGAGGGCUAGUCAUGAGCUAGGACCCCAUUUUGUUAGUACAAACAAUAUGUAAUUUGUUCUCUGAAGUCCCCCUGUUGUGUUUUGGAAAAUAAGGUGAAUGCUGACAGGAAAUGAAAGUGAGACUCUUAAUUUGUGUAGCAGAAGAAUUGGUAUACAGCAGUUUAGAGGGUGUGCUAUGCAGGGAGCUAAAGGGAGAUACUGCCCUGCCUGUGGUGUUGGGAUCAGCAGUGGUAAACAAGAGUCUCUUCAGGGCUCGUUUGAGCCUCUCUUUGGCAUCUCCCUUGCUGUUUCUUCCACAUCUCAGCAGAAUCACAUCCGCUAAGAGUAAGGUUUCACGAAACAGCUGAGCCCAGCUGGUGACUUGCACUGUUGAAAAAUCAGGUUUUAAUCCUAGACCCUUCACAGGUCACAAUUCAAGCGUUUCUCCAAUCCAUUGUUAAGGUCUUUAACAUAGGCAGAAAACAAUGCAGGUUUUAUCUCUUUGGGUUAUCUGUAAUUAUUUUUGCGCACCAAAUCUAUUCACUGAGGUGUCAGAUGGCAAAAGACAGAUUCAAAUUAAGCACUGAAAGCACAUUCAUUGGCAAUUAAAUGGUCAAGUGGCAAGAAAAAGGAGUCUAUAUUUUCUAGCAUUGAGCUCUUUAAGACCUCACCCUGAUAACUUCUUGAAAAAAGAUAUUGCUCCAAACUACCACUUUGUCAUCUGUAUUUGUUUAAAUAAGAAAUUACUUCAAGACUUUUUUGGUGAGAGUGUUAUCACCUAGCAGUUGACAUCUAGAGCUAUAUGAAGGUAGAGAAAGAUAGAGUAAAACAUUGCUUGUUUCUACACUUGCCAUAUGGAUCUUUAAGACAACAGCAUUUUAAGAGGUUUGUGGGAUUUUUUUCUGUUCAAGUUUUUCAUUUUGUAUUUCUUUGGUUUUGUUGUUCGGUUGUUUUUUCCAAUUUGCUAUUCAGAGUAAGAAAUGUAAUUAAGUUUUUAUUUCUUCUAUUAAAUUACUUUCUGCUUUUCUGUGCCCAGAAGUAGAACAUGUUAGCUGGCUUCUGGUAGAAUGAGUUCUGGUGCAUAUUCCUUGUUAUACACGUAGUAAGGGUUAGGCUAACUUCUUAGCACUAUGCUGUGCAGUAAAGGUAUGGAAACACCACCUUGGUGUUUGUUCUGUGUGGGUUUUUAAAGCCACAGGUUUUGUUACUUCAGAAUAAACAACCAGUUUCUGUACACUGGGAUGUCAUCUGUCUGUAGUUUUGAGCAAUAAUUUUGAGGGUUUUAGGAAAUACUUUUCAGUAAAUCAGGGAGGCAUAUAAAUAUGCUCUACAUGUAGGAGUUAAAUGGUUAUCCAGAUUCUGAGAAAGCAAAAAUCUUUUUUAUUACAUAGCUGAUCUUUACCUGAGAAAGCCUGAUGAGCAUUUUUAAGCUAAUUCCUCCCCUUAGGAAGGACAGAGGGGUGCUGUUCUGCUUCCACUGACCUUUUUCUUUAGAGAGUUACAGUAUUUCUGUGAUAGACUUGCAGUAAAGUUAGCAAGGUAUCUUACCUUGUGUCCUUUAAAAUGUUGCUAGGUGAGUGAAUAUCGAAACUGUUCCCACCAAACCUGGUUUGGUGAUUUGUAAAUGUAAUUGUUACUUUGUUAUUCCUUUGCCUCUUAUAAACUUGUAUCCUUUUGCUGAACUAUUGUAGAAUCUAAACUGAGGACAUCAGGAACUUUUUGUUUCUUUUAUUUCAGUCAGGUUAAACUGCUUCCAGGAAGUAUGUACUUAUUACCGUACUGCACUUGCUGCUAGCAUUUGUCUGUAAACCCACAGACAUCCACAGCUGCCAUGUGGCUCAAAAAAUUAAAACAAAGGAAAGUGCAGUUUUGGGAAGAAGAUGGAAACUUGAAAGAUGGAAAAGUCUGUUACUUUGCCUGUGCCCAGAAUCAGUUUGCUUUUCCCUCUCACAAAAUGACAUAAUUAAGGGUGUAUGUACUCUGCUACUUCAGCAGUUGCAUUGUUAUAGUAAUUAAGGUUAGUUUUGAUUACUAUAGUGUUAAGCAGUUUGAAUUCUUUGUCUUGUAGCAAGCAGCAGUAACAGUUUUAUUGUGUAUGUAAAUUAUGAUUGUUAAGCAUAUGAUAAUCUAGCCUUACUUUGCACAGGGUGAAAUUGUGAUUUAACUGUACCAAAGUCUAGCAUUAAAAUUAAGGUUUUUUAUGCAAAUUACCUGUAUUCUAGCAUUGUAUUAACUGACCUAUAGAUUAAUGUGAAGGAUGUAGGUUUUGAUCAGGGUUUCUCAUUGAAAAACAGGGUAGGUGGUGAUUGAGAAGAGCAUUAUGUAGCUAAAAUCAUGCCAAGCCCAUUUGAAAGAUCAUGUUGUUACCCUCCAACAGGUAUGAUGAGAGGACACGUUUUCAUUAACUUGUUGAGGACUAUGUUACAUUGGACAGUUUUGAAAAAUUCAAUGCCUUUAGUUGUAUGUUUGUUCCUUGUGAAAACUUGUGUAGUGAGAAGCACACCCUUCAACUCCCAGCACCAGUUCUCUGCUCUGGCAGCUAUAGAUUAAGAAUUCUAAGGCAGUAGAGUGCAGCAGUGGGUGGUGUGUUCAAGCUGGAUUCUCUCUAUUGGCUGAAAAAUCUACAUUGUUGUGGUACGUGUUUAUGUGAACUGAACUUCAGAGAGAAAUUAGGUGCUGCAUCUUUUAGCUUAAUAUAAUGGCUUGUAUGAAUAUCAAAUUGCAAAACAAGCAACUUUGGAAAUUUAAGUGUACAGCAACUUUAUGGGAUGUGGAAUUGCCUGGGAGAUUGAGGGUGUGUAGUGCUUUGUAGUGGUUCUUAGGAUGUUUCCUGGUUCUUUUGCAAAUUAGCAAAUUUUUUUUCCCCCUUUGAAUUUCUUGAGGAUGAAUGAUCAGAUGCAAACAUGACACUAAAAAAAAUAGCCUGUUUUUCACACAGAUUGCACUAAUACCUAAGAAAGUUCAGUUUCUAUCUAAAUUUGGUCUAUUGUUAUGACAUGCUUUCUUCCAAAAAGAUUGCUCUUUUGAUACUACCUACCUCAUCAUCCAACUGUUCAUUUAAUAAUCAGAUGCAGAAUUUAUUUCAUUUGCAUAUUAACUUAGGUUUUUUAUAUUCAACUCCAAGGCAGGACAUUCUUGAACUUUAAAUGAAUGUGUUCAGAGUUUGGGUUUUUUCAAUUUCAGUUAACAUUUUUUGUUUUUAAGCAAAGCUACUACCAUGAGUUGGUGAUGAACAUCAAACAUUUUGCAUCUCAGGUGAACACUCAGGAAAAGGUUGACAAGGAUGGAAUGAUGUCCAUGUGAAGAAUUACUAUAUAAUUGCUAUGUAAGUGACAUCUCUUACCUAGAAUAGCUAGAGGGCAUGAUCUGUAAAACUGUGUGGCAUGGGGAGUGAGGAAUGUCCUAGCUUGCCUUUUUUAUGUAGCUGCAUUGCUUCUAUUGGCUUUUUCCUUAGGAACAGAUACCAAUUUAUUCCUAAUGAAACAUUAGAGCUGUCCUUGAGAAUGAGAAACUACAGAAAAUGAGGAUGGAGAAAAAACAGAUAACAGCUGGUAAAAGAAGGAACGUGAGUAGAGAAAUGUAAAAACAGGGAGCCAAAGGGAGCUCUGAGCAGAAUAUGGUUUGGGUCUGGUCCACAUACUCCCAUGCCAGAAAAGAGAGAUGAUGAAUGCUGGCCAGAGAUGCUCUGCCUGAGGAGGUACCACAGGUGUUGGGACAUCCUGAAAAGCUUCUUCCUCCCGGUAGCAGCUUGGUCAGAGGAGCAAGGUCUCUGAUGAAGAGAUCCUGCAUCAUGUGGGGCCUUAGAGAGGAAAUGUAUAAAUGUAAAGGUGAACCAAGAACAUUUUAAUAAGAAGUUUUGGAAAAGCUGAAGCAGAGGUUGCCAUUAAUCCCACUUGGGCCAUGGCAUGCAUGUAUUCCACCUUAUCCUAGAGGGAACUAGCUUUCAGGACCCCAGGCAGAGCAUUAUGGAUGUACUCAUAUCUUUAAUGUAUUUUUCCUGGCUGGGCUCUGGAUUUAGCCCAAAGUGCAUGCUGAUCCACAUGGCAUCAUGCCUCUCCUGAUGGUAGGAGAUCCCGUCUCCUGCUUUCUAUGCUGGGCAAAUGGUGAGAAAGUGAAGUUCGAGGGCAUAAUGGAAUUUUCCAAGAUGAGGUGUGAAGAUGAACAGGAUUCCAUGAAAUACUGAAAUACUACAUGGGGACAACAUGUAUCUCAUGGGACAACAAUCUUCUGCUGGGGUUACACUUGCCUUAGUCUUGUGAUUUAGUUCAGCUCUUGUUACACAGGCAGAGAGGACACCCCUGACUACCUUCAUGCCAGAUGCCCAAAGGUACAGUCUGUGGUUUUGUUCUGCCAGGGGUGCGAGGUGUACUUGGCACAUUGUAUAGUUUCAGACAGUUCUUGUGGGGUUUUGGGGGGUUGUUGGUUUGUUGGGGUAUUUGGUUGGUUGGUUGUUUUUUUUUUUUCAUGGAAGGUGUGUCUAGACACCUUGGUACACUCAGGAGCUAAAAUGGCAUUAGUUCACUUCAGAAGACUUGGGAUUUUUUUGAUAGUGGCUUUUAGCUUUUCUUUUGUGUUUUCUGUUUUUAAGCAGAUGCUUGAAACUAUGCUGUUUAUUAAAGAAAAACAUUUACUAAGUAAUUGACAACAGAAAUAUUGAACAUAAUUUGACCAAGUAAUUUGUUCUUUUUGACUUUUGACUGUAAGACAGUGUUGUGUGAUGAUUUGGUUGAAUCUUCAAACCAGUUAUAACCCCUAUUACUUGUUACUUUAGAGUGUUUUUUUCAGGACUUCUUUUAGAAGCAAUUUUAUAGUGUCUGCUGGGUAAGAGUCUUCAGAGUAGAACCUGACUUUUGCUGGUAUGAUAUUUUUGAAAAAUCCCAAAACAUGUUUGUAGUGUCUCCAGCUUGAGGUUUGGGGCUAUAAUUAUGAACUGUUCUUCAGCUUGCUACUUAUGGAGUACUUACCUGACCAAUUUUCUUUGGCAGUAAAGCUGACUUGAAAAAUGCCUGCCGUUAUCACCCCUGCUGCUCUGCUCAUAGCUACAAUUCACUGCUCCUCCUGUGCUGAUACAGUUGUUCAAGGACUGCUCUGUGUCUCACCACAGUGGUUAAGACCCUUGCUCUCACCUGGCACUGCUCUUUUAAUCCCUUAUUUCAUGGAACUGUCUUAAAACACUGCCCUACCUUGUGCAGGGCUAAUACAAAGGAGGGAUCCAAAACAAGCGGGAAAUGGUGUUGCAAGUGGCCUUUACCACUGAAGAAAACACACAGGAUUCACGGAAGGGAAGAAGAAAAUGCUACUGUUGCAUGGUGUCAAUAUCACCUUUUGGAUAUGUUAACAUGAGGUGCUUUUUAAUUUGAGGAACUCUUUGGAGCCUUCCCUUGAUUCUGAGAUGCUGCUGACUGACUUAGUAGUGCUAUGCAUCACCAUGCCAUUCUCAAAUACUAUCUGCAAGAGUUGUCCCAUUUUUUGCUUACAGCUGAGACUAAAAGUGUUUGUAUCAUUUUAGUUUUGUUUAAUGUGAUUACCCUCAUGGUCAUCAGCCCAAUUUAUUUUGACAAAGUUAUCAAAAAGAUCACCAGCCUUCCUCUUCAUAUUUUAAUUGCUUCAGAAUAUACUCAAGUAUUUGUUAGGACAAAUAAAACGGGAAGAUGACUAAAACAUAUGCAUUCCUUUUAGAUACAGCAUGUGAGUAGGGAGUAGCAGGAGGAAGAAGAGAUGUACAGAACUGUGCAGCAGCACAAUGAGAGAUGUGAAAGAAUCCAAUACCAGAGUUAACCUAAAUGGUAUGGUAAGACUAGAGCACUGGAAAUUUAGUAUGAUUUUUGGCAGGAAAAAUGAAGGCAUGUCUUGCAUUUAUCUUUUCUGCAGUUGAACUGAAUUCUUGCACUUAGUGGUGGAUACACUGAUUUUCUGCAGGAUGUAUUUUUCAUUUAAAGUAAAAAUAAAGUUCAUACCCUUACUGUCUCUUCUUUCAAAAAUAACUUGUGGUAGUUCUGCCUUUCUUUGUGUGAAAAUAAUUCCAAACAGAAAAUAGUAGUUGGCUGGUUUUCCACAGUUCUAUUCACAACACUAUAAUUUUCUCCACCAACUAAAUUGACUCAUUCAUUUCCGCUAAUACAUACAAACUUACUUGUUCUGCUGCCAGUCUUGUUGUUAAAAGGCCUAGCCCAAGACACAGUGGCUGAGAAAACAGAGCAGUAGAUGUUCAGUGUGGAAAGUGCAGUUCUUUCACAUACAUCCUUUUCUCUUCAGACUUGGACAUACAUUUUUCACCAAGAGAACUGUCAGCCACUGGAAUACUCUCCCCAGGGAAGUGGUGGAUUCCCCAACAGCAGGACACUGAAGUGCAGCUGCACAGGGUGCUGGGCCAUCUUGUUUACGGCAUGCUUUUGUCGAGAAAGGUUGGACCAGAUGAGCCUUGUGAUCCCUUCCAACCUGACAUUCUAUGAUUCUCUGACAUGUUACAGAGAAGCUGAGUAGCAGAGCUAGUCUGUUGAGCUUGAGAUUGUUUGAUACUCAUGCAGCACUAGAGAGAGGUUUAAAAAGUGACUGCAAAUUGGGAAGGAGACAAUAGACAGGUACACUUUUAAGAAAUAAAGGCAGGGUGAGAAUUUUGAUUCCUCUCAAAUGAUGUGAACAAGGUUGGAUAUUUUCAAGAAGACAAGAGUUAUAUGAAAAACACUUUUGAUUUCUUCUUGAAUGCACAUUUAAUAAUGAAAAGGAGACAUUUAGUGAGGGAAAUACAUUUGGGGAAAAUGUAUGCUUCAGUUGCAAAAGAUGGAAUAUAUUCAGUAUAUGGGUGUAAGCCACAAUACUGGCAACUUUGAGUCAGAGUAAAUGCUGAAGAAGGAAGAUGAGAGAAAGUUAAGAAAUAGUAUUAUUAGUCCCUAUUAAGUAUUUGCUAAUGAUACAGCUAUCAGCAAUAACAUUAUAGCACGAAGAGCAUUUUUCCUCUUCCAAAAUACAGAAGUACAUCAGCAUUGUGUGUUAAAAAAAACCUCCUCUUUGCGGCACUUCUUCCCCUGCUGAUGAGAGCCCAGUGGACCUCUAUUGCACUCCAAGGAUAUAAUGAAACGCUCGAUCUCCCUAUUUGUGAUUGCAUCAAGAAUUAUUCAAUGAAAGGCACCCAAAUACCAUUUCAUCACUGUGGGGAUAAAAAAAGCAGCAAUACCUACAGCUGAAAAUCAUAUGGUUUAAGCAACUUGUCACAGAACAAGGAUAGUGUCUGCUCUUCAAGGAUGGUAUUUAGUAGCCUUUGGCAACAGUUUGUCCUGAUGCUGCUACAGGCUACUUCAUCCUGCUUCCAAAGUUCUGUAGAUCUUUCCAAAGGAGCCGAACCGAUACAUUUCUUUCACUGCCUGAUGCUGAAUGAGUGCCAGGAUAGUUCCAUACAUUGUUCUGCAGGGAGUACCAGUCUGUGGAAAAAGGAAUACGUCUGUAUCUGUUGUUACAAAGAAUGUGUAAACAAGGACAUGCAGAGGUUAUUAAAAGAAUACUUAUUCUGACUUCUAAUGCCUUUUUGAAUGCCAAAAUGUGAAAUAAAAAUAAUGUCUUUAAAACAUAGUUUUCUGUUUGAAUUAUGUAGACAAGUACUUGUUUAUACAGUUUGAUUUGUAAAUGUCUUCCUGUAAAAAGGCAGUAAAUUUUAUUAGUCAGUUAUUGUCUUUAUUCAUAAAUACUCCUAAUUAGUAUGACAAUAGGUUGAUAGCAGUUUAGUUGACUUUAUCCAGUGUCCCUUGAAUUCCUGGUUGUUAUUUUUAGAAUGUAAAAUAAAGCUUAGAGGUAAUACAACAGCAUUUUCAGUGACACAGUUUGUAGCUUGCACAUUUUUAUGUUCAAGUUAGAGAAAUUUAUUAAAAAUGUUGGGAAGAAAGUUUGUAUAAAUAUUAUAUCAAAGACAAUUUGGGAUCAUAAGAAGGGACUAGAUACUGUGAUAAGCUUUUGCUCUCUGAAACUCUUAGGGAGAUUUUUUUACUAAACUCAGAAGUACUCCUAAAAAUCUCAUUAGAAGCCCACCCAUCAUUGUUUUGUACAAAUAACAGAAAUGUGUUAUGCUCUGGUAUCACGGUAUGAAAAUUGUUUGUAGAUACUAUUCAUCUCUUAUCCGAGGUCAAACUGCAGUAUUUGUUGACCUUCCUACUUAGGCUUGAUGCACUGAAAAUCUGGGCUGUUAAACUUGGGAGUCAUAUGAUUGUCUAAAUCCUUACUUCUCAUUCGCGAUGUUCCAGAAAAACAAGGCAGAGGCAAUGCAAUCAGGCUUAACAGUCCUAUUGCUUUUAACCAUUUCUGAGUUUCUGUUAGGGAAAGUGUAGCUUUUGGGAAAACAGCAAGUUUUUUUAAUUAGUUGGCACUAUUAAACACAUUUCAUCUGUAAACUGGCAAAUAACUGCAAAUACUUAUUUAACAGUUAACUCUUUAGAAGACCUAGGCAUACAGCAAUAUAGUGAGGUGACGACUUAUAAUUACCCUAGGCUUGUAGUAAUUCUAGUAACUUAAAAUAAUGUGUAUCUUCAUUUUUUGCCAGUCAAACAUUUAAAUUGGUGGUCUGUUACAGAGAGAAAACUAUACCUUAUUUUAUGGCAAUUAGUAUAUCAAUUUACUUCACGUUCUCAAAGUGCUUAUUAAUUUUAGCUCAAAAUAGAUCAAAUGUACCACAUGUGACUGCUGUAUCAUAAUACUACAUUUCUAUUUUUAAACCUAAAUGGACUCUGGGAAAGUACUUUGCAAACUUUUGGCUUCCAUUGCAGAGCAGGUUUCCCAUGUGUUCCUGGGUAAAGUGCCUCCUAAUGGGGUCCAGGAGUAUCUGUUUGUCUUUCUGGCCAUGUUUCAAGCUUUUAUGUUAGUUAAUUAAAAAACCCUGAAGCAAAGUCAGGUGAAUUGUUUAAAUUCUUCUUCAAAAUGAGCAAGCUGGGGAAACUUCAUCUUCUUCAUUUCAGUCCUAAAAAUGUCCAGAUAUUGCAAGGGAGAAUGAAAUUUAUGCUGGAAGUCAUGAGCUCAAAAUCAUAUUAAUGGUAUUUUGUUUUGAGAAUGUUUUCUCUGUGAACUUAUAUUCAACACAAAAAAAAAUUAAAAUUUGUUUUCCUGUAAGUGACAGGCUUUUCAAAAUUUACUAAUCUCAUAUUAAAAAUAAGUCUCCUAUUAAAAAACAUGUCAACUACUGGAAAACAGUCUUUACCUUUUUUACUCUGCUGUUGUGGAGUCAUGGCUCGAAAGCUAUGUAUAGGUUAAUAUUAAUUUUGUAAUGGCCAUUUGGGAUCUCUUUAUCCCCUCUGCACAUGGUCUGAGUUCAAUAUUAGGACUUUCCUCUCAGAAUCUCUCGCCAAAUCAUCACAGUCAUGAAAAUGGAUAGAGUUGCCUAGGCAGUGAGGAAUUUUAGUCAUUUCUAGGUUGAAGGCAGCUGUAGAAUGCAGCAGAUAAGUCUUAGAGCAGGUGAAAUGGUUACUAAGGUGUUGGUUCCAUGGCUCUGUCAGAGCAUGCAGUGGUGUUGUACACUGACUGUAGAUGGGCUUUUCAGCCUAAAUGUGUGUAAUUGCCGCUUGUAGUAAUUCAGUCUGAGAGUUACAAAGACAAAAAUACCAAUGACAAGCAGCACCAUAGAUACCAGUAUUUAAUAACUCAUCAUAAAGGAAUAUUAUUUUUGCAGUCUGAGCUGCAUCAUAAUUUGAGAUCCAAGGGAGUACCCUUAGGUGACAAACACUGGCAGACGCAAUCCACGAUAAACUUUGGAUGUUUUGAUUGCUUAGCCUGUGAGCCAAGGAGCAGAAGUGCUUUUCUGAAGUAGCUUUUCAUGCUGCAGUCUUGGCUCUGGCUGAAGAGAUAGCACCCCAAGGUCAGAUUUUAUUUUUUUUUUGUUUCAUAUGAAGACAUCAACAUAUUAAUGAUGUUAAUAAAACCACUAAGUUUUACAGCUUAAAUGUCUUAAUCAGCAUCUGUAGCAACAUCAGAUAAAAAUGAAGGAUAGCAAAACAAGAUCUGUUAGACAUUAGUGUUUCAGGGGUCCCUUUUCUUAGCAUGCCCAAAGCGUAUCUGUAGUUUGGUGUUCAUUUCCCAAGUCAGUUAUAGCCAAGUCAUAAGUUGCUAAAAUACUGAAGAAUAUUAAAAGUGGGUGUUUCAUCUUUCCUUUAUGCCCAGUUGGCAGUCAGUAACUAAAUUGAGCUUUCAUUUCAGUUUGAGAACUGAAGAGAGUUGAGAUAAUAAGAUUGUGUUAAAUCAGUUUUUGGUCUUUGACCUUCUAAAAUUAAUGUCUAAAACAGAAUUAAGGAUAAAGUUGUAUAGAGACAUGGAGUAUUGUCCUUUAAAUUUAAAUGGCUGAAAAAUUGGGGCAGCGAGAGGUUAGGCUAUUUUCUUCUCCAUGUACAGUGAUAGGCCAGACCUUUUUAUUUAGAAAAAUUUUGCCUACACUACACUCUUGGAGGCUUGCAUUGUAAAACUUUUUUUUUUUUUGUAGUAACAUGAGAGAAUAAAACUCUUCUAAUUGUUUAAGGCUGCUGGUGAAGAUGCCUUUUCUUGCUCUUUAAUAUACCCCCAAGCUCAGGUUUUGCCUUCACUCGCUGUAGUGGUUUCAGAUGCAGAGCCCUCACUCUGUCCUUCCUUAGCUCCUUGUUUCAGUUUUACCUCUGCUUUGUGCCAGCUCCCUAAUGCAGUCUUGCAUCAGUUCUCAAUUCUUUGCCUGUUAGCCCUUCCUCUGCUUUUUUUUUGCCUUUCCUCCCCCCAGUUCCGUUGCGAAAUUCUAAUUUUUGACCAAGUGUUGGUGACAUUCCGGUGUAUCCUAAUAUUGUUAUGUUCCCUGUGCUUGUGUCAUAGUUGUUCCUGAAGUGGACACUUACUGGCAAAGAAAAGAACAUUUUAAUUUUAAGCUGUGUUUUAAUGGCUCACUAACUACUUGUAAGCAAAGAAGUGGCCUAAUUUCCUUAAUCUUUCAUAUUUCAACCUGUUUAAGCAAUAAUUAAAGUUUCUGGUGUAAAUAUGUCUUAAAAAGAUCUAUUUCACUCAAUAUGUUUUCUUAGGAGUCCUUAAUUUGGGCUUUAUUUGAUUUAGGACAAAAAUCAGACUUUAUUGAAUGUGUCUUUUUUAUGUGUACUUAUAAUUCUCUUAAUUUUUAAUAUGUGAGCCAAUUUAUGUUGUUUACAGUCAAAAGUAUGAUGGUAAUCCAUCUUCUUGUCUGAUGCAAAAGAAAAUUAACAACAAUGUUUGAACUUGAGGAUGUCAAUUUAAGCAUGAAACAUCAAAAAAAAAAGUCUUCUUUUUAAUUUAAACAAAAACCAGUCAAUUUUAUUUUAAAUUGUUUCCAUGUGUAUGACUGAGUUGUCUGUUGAAUUUCAGGCUACCAAUUAUUUUUAGACUACAUAAAUUAAUGAGAACAGAUGGCAUGUAUGAUUAGAAAUUUUGGCAUAUUGAGCAGUCAGGCUGAACUGAAAAAUACUUUAAUGUAUAAUAUGUGGAACAAAAUUAUAUCAAAAAGGUAUUUGCAAAACCAGAGGUGCAGAAGAAUUCUAUGAAGAAAAGCAGAGAGGAUACCUGAGCUCAGCCUCUACAGCACACUGCACAGGACAUGAGUAAGAGGCCUCUUGUCUUGCAGGUGGCUGUGUCCAGUUGUGCAUCUGGUAAUUGUAUCUCUAGAUGUGUGUUCAGUCAUUUAAGGGAAUGAAACAAAUAAAUUCAACAAAAACCAUCUACAUGAGAGGAAGGAGGAGGGAAAGUUUUUCAAAAUACUAUGUAAUAUAUAUGUUCAUGUAACAAUGUUUAUAUAUGAUGUUCAGAAUUAAAAUAUUUACCUAGAGAUGUGAAUUGCAUUUUUUAAUAGUAUUGAGAAGAAAUAGUAGAAAAGGAAAAGAGGUAAAGGUUCAUUCCAAGUUUUCCACCCUGCUGUUUUCAUACCUAUUCUAGGUGACUUGCAAGCAUUUUUUUAUCAGGGUUGUUAGUUAUGGUUUUGUUUGCAAUUCUUCUGAAAUGCUUUUAAUUUUUUUGAAUGCUUCUAAAUGCCUUUCUUAUCUAUAUUCCUUGAGCUGGUUGCUUUAAGUAGAACAAAAUUUGCACCCAGAAUAUCUGCCUUUCUUUCCUGUUUCCUAGAGUGAGUAUAUAUGUACCCAUUUUUCCUUAGGGCAGGGAAGGAAGAUAAGCUUGGUGUUUCAACACGAAUGGCAAUGAGGCUACAAGUUUUUCAGCAAUGUAUAAAUGCAUUGUUAGCCUUGCACAACUUUUCAGAAAAAUCAUGUAUCAGCAGUGUUUUCAAAAAUUGCAAUAAUACUUUGCCUUAUUUGGCUGAUAAAUUAAGCUGAUAUUUUCCUCUGAAAGUGUCAACUUCCCAGAGAAAAAGGAAUGCAAAUGUCAAAUGUUACCUAAUAAUAAUAUGUAAGCACUCAUUUUCACUUCAGAUUAAGUAUUCAUUUAGGCUUUUAUUUCUUGUAGUUUAAGUAUUGCAGGUUUUUUUUUUUAUUGUAUUAGAAAGGGCUCAGUUACUGCAAUUACUAAAUUCAUUAUUUUGAAACUUCACUCAAAUGGGAUGCCAUGUGUUUCCUUCCACCCACCCUCUCUAGAGUGGAAGAAGGUGGAUCUUAUAGUGGAAAUAAGUUUAGAAAAAUUGCCCAAUGUAGUGCAACUGUUACCUCAUUUUGGCAGUUGGCAGUUUUCUUGGGUAGAUUUUAACUUGAGAGGAAUUGGAAGAAAACCAGAACCUUCCCACAUGCCAUGUGACUCCCAGAAAUAACAAUUCUGUAUUGAGCUUGUUAGGAAGAGCUAUGAGCAUCUGAGACUGGCUCACAGUGAAACAUGUUUGUUCUUCCAGGAGGAAGAAAUGAAGCCUCCGGCUAGUUAAAAACUUUUAAGCUUUUUUUCUCAAAAUGGUUCAAGUAAAUUAAGAUAAAAACUCAAGAGAUGUCUUCCAGCUCUGCUAAAUUAGAGAGAUUUUUAUUUCCCUGAAAUAAGAAAGGCCUGUACGAUGUUAUCGUGAGAUAGACUUCACCUAUUCAAAAUAGGAAUAUUUAAAACAUUUUGUUUAUUUUGGAGUAAUCAUGAUUAGGAUAGCCUAUUGUAUGAUGUGACUACUGCCAGAUGAAGGAUAACAUUCCCAGUGACUAGCAGGAAGGCCCUAGAUGGUGAAGCCUGUUUGGCAAAUGAUCUGCUCUCCCUGCAGUGGAGGUGUGUGCUGAAGCAUGCGGUGGUGCAGAAGAGUCACAGUAUCCUUGUUCGGGAGGGUAUGGGGUUGAUUGUCACUGCUUUGAGAAGAUGCUUUUAGUGGCAAUUCACAGUAUGAAAUACAGUAAUUUUCAGAAUGCAUUUCAAGUAACUCUUUGCUCUCUCUUUAGAGAAAAUUAAAGGUAAAUACAACUGAUGGAUGUUCUUGUAUCUAAUUAAAAAGUAGCUUCAAGAUGAUUUGCUGUGGUUUACCUGUCAGUUAAAAGUUCACAUUACACUUAAUCUGAAAUGAUUUCUUUAUUUGAUAUAAAUGGUGUUACUGUGGAAAAGCUUAUUCUCUGUGAAAUCUAAUAGAGUGAGUUCUAUUACAAGUAGCCAGCAUAACAAAAACCUGUUUCUUAGAAAGAAAAUAUUUGCUUUUUAAACAAAAUGCAGAAUUGUUAAACUUCUCAAAAUAAAAAUGUUAGGCAUUAUCAAGCACUCAUUUUGCACUAAAAAUAAGAAAAAAUGUUGUGUUCAGCAGCACAGCUUGUAACUUACUCUCUAUAAGCUGGUGAAGGAGUCACUAGUUUCUUUUGAUCUCUUUUUUAAAAAAAUCUUUGAUCAUGGUGCUUUGAAAGGGAAAAUAAAUUGAAAGGUUGAGGAUACAGUAUUAAAGAAUCAUAUCUUUGCUGACACAUUGCAAGUGGAGCUGGAUGCCAUGUGAAUUGUUUGACUUUGUUCAGAAAAUUACAAAGAUUGGUAUAUUUUAUUCCCACCCCCCCAAAAAAAAAAAAAGAAAAUAAACGCUAUGCAUUUUAUCUUGUGUUUCUUUCCUGGAAAGUUUUUUCUGCUUUCCUGCGCUUUUAAACAAACAUAAAACCAAAUUAAAUAUACUUGUAUAUGUAUUUAGCUCAUUCUUUGUAAAUGGAAGAGUGAAAGAUAUCUUUUGACAAUUCUGCCUGUCCAAGCUUUAGUUAUUUUGGCAUUUCUUGUAAAGUAAAACUUGGGAAUGCCACAGGGUAAUGUGGACUGAGAAGCAAAGUCCCUGUUACUUAUCGAUAAACACAAUUCAUAAAUAGGCAAAGGCAAAUGUACAAUUUUACAUUUUUUUUUAAACUUGGUAAUUUAUUUCACUUAUAUCCAAAUGUAAAUACUAUUUAAGAAUAUAUUCAGACUAAUAAUAAAUAAAUUCACUUUAUGUGAAAUAAACUCAAAAUAAAUCAGAAUUUUUAAAUGAAAAUCCAUCACAAAUAGGGAAAAAAGUAUGAUCUGUGAACUUUGUUGAUGCCCUCACUAAGAAAAAUAGCUAGUAAUUAGAAGGUUGAUGCAUUAAUUAUUUCCCCUCUAAAAAAUCCAAGAUAUUCAGUUGUGUUUAUACAACACAUUACAGAUGAAUGACUGAGUACUUCUGAAAUUUUCUGUUCAGUAUUAUAAUUCCUCAUGCUUUGUUUGGUCUUAAACCAGCAGAUGGCAUUUGUUACUCCAUUUAAGUGCAGACUAACAUAUAUUUUGUAAACACGGCGUAAUUAACUUCAGCAUAUUAUAAAGAAAUCUUGUUUUCUGAGUUGUGUUUCUGAUGCCUCUGCAGUUGUGCAAGUUCCUGUAGUUGAGAUUCCACAUACUUAGCACAAGGUGUGCUGGGCAAACUCCGAAAUGCCCUCUUACACAUUCUACAGCCUCUUGCCCUGUGGCCAGAAGCAUCCUCCCUACUUUUUGGGGUUUAAUGCCUGUGUUCCACUGUAGCUGCUGUGGGGGACAGGGAGUGUUUCACUUGCUCCUCUGUUUGUGGGGCUGAGCAGGCUGGUGGGAGUGGAGGGAGCAGGGCUCUCUUAGGGCAGCCUGUAGUCUGGUGAGGCAUUGGAAUGAGGGGCUGUGAGUCGUGAGUGCAUCUCUGCAGCACAUGGCCAAAUUUUCAUUCUUCAGACUGUACUUUAUGAAAGCUGCUACUGUAUUCUAAUUUGCACUCUGUACUACUUCAGUCUAUGAAAAAGCACUUCCAAUAGAGUUACUUUGGGUUUGCUUUCUUUCUUAUUUGGAUAUUUUUCUAAUUAAACCUAAAUGUCAUAUAAUGAAGGAACACUUCAGUUUUGGAGGAAAACAAAGGUAUGAAUUUAAAAUACUUAGCUCAAGGUGGAGUAAUUUGGCUUGGGUUAUUCUUUCCCCUAGUGUGCUGGUGAUUUAAAAUGCUUUAAGAUUGGCUUUCUGAAAGUGUUACUAAAAUGUCUCUGGUUACUCUAGUAUUUAGCAUUCUGGUCUUUUACUGUACAGUACAGAUCUGAUAGUGAAGUGUAGCUGCUAAUAUAGUGAAUAAUUUUUGCCAGCAAGACUUCAGUUUAGGUGAAAGCUGUCCUUUCUCCUAGUUUCUCUUAAUUUUUGACAUAGGAUAAUGGGAGGAACUAUCUGUAAAUAUGACUCCAGAUCUCUCAGGGAUAAUAAUUUGUUAUGUGCAGCACUCUGAUUCAUAAUACUAAAUGUGUCCUAGGAAGGGGUUUUCGAACCCAAGUGUGCCUCGUAAGGAGCAGUUCCUUACAAGUUCCUUUAGCUAAGAAGCUAAACCAAGGAAAGAUAGACCAAACUUGCAGAUUUUGGAAAAAGUAGAGCUCUUCUACCCAAAGCUUCCUGUAGCCAAGAUCCUGUCCACAGCAGCUUCACACCUGCAGGAGCCUUUAAGGUUCCUGUGAGAGCCAGGUCUUCAGCAUCCUUGCUCUGAUAGAGAAUGGCCAGAAUGGAAGCAGGGAGCUUCUCCUUCAGCCCGGUCAGAUACUGAGUAAAAUGCCUGCAUGGUUCUUCUUUACUCAUUUUGGAUCAAUAACCCAUUAAUGGUUAAUAUUAAUCAACAGUAAUUAGUUUGAUAUAAAUUAAGUGAACCAAAACCUUUAUUUGCUGUUAGGUUUUUCAGAGAGGCAAAGCAAAUGAGUUCAUGCUAAAUUGCUUCACAAUUUAACCUUGGAUUUUAAUUUUAAAAGUCUAUACACUUACAUGUUUUUUCUAGACUUCAUUGGUUCAAAAGUAGAAACAGCUUACUCCUGGCAGACUACUAUUUUGUGUAACUGUAGCAAAAAGCACUUACAUAGGUACUUUCUCUUUUGCUGCAAAGUAACAGAGUUUGUACAAAACUUCUGAUUGGCUGUUGAACUACUGUAACUUGUGCUAGCAGGUAACUGCAGAGGGUUAUUUGGACAGUGUGUGAUUUGGAAGGGCAUGGACACCAAGCACAUUUCACCUUUCAGAUCAGUACUUUCAGUUCUCUUGUACUCAUGUGAAAGCAGCUGUUGCAAAGAUGGUUCCUGGCUAACCUUUGUUUUAUUAUGGAGCAAUUGUAUGAUUUUUAUUCACAUUCUGCCAACGCUGAUCUUGCAGUCUGAACUAUCGUAUUGGCAAGCAUCAGUGAGCACAGCACCUUGAGGUAGCCUGUGAGAAAAGCAUGGAGCAAGGUGAUGUCUUAGGAGAGAAAUCCAGUUGUCUUUGGAAAAUUGAACAGUUUUCUUGAAGAUUUGCCUUUUGUACUGAGAGUUCUCUGUCCCCUCCUUGUCAGCGCUAGAUUUGGGACUGUGACUACAAGGUAUUUGAUUUCAAAAAGACCAGAUAAUGUGUUGGUAGAAAUGAGGAAAUCUGUUCGAUCUGCUGCCAGGGUAUGUGUCCACAGAAAAUCACAACAUCUUAGAUGAUGAAUUUGUCAAAUUUUGACAAGAAAACUGGUGAGAAGAGUAAGAACUUCCAGCUUACAUAUGAAAAAUCAGAUUCUGAAUUUGAUGUUCUUUUUUUUUCUGCACGUUCUCACUUAUUUUUUUAUUCAUUUUUGUAUCAUCACAGUUAACAAGUAAAUGAUGCUGUUAGACCAUGUAAGCUUAAAUUAAUGCUUCCUGAUGAGAGCUGAAGGUAUUAGAUGUGUGCUGCAGUUAAACUCGUGUACAGUAGAUGCCAGUAGAGACCUACUGAGUCAAAAUAGAAAUAUGAUCAGUGUUUCCAUAGUAACAACUUCCUCCUGGCAGUCCUAUUUAUAGCAGUGCUGCAGUCCCAGCCUCAGUGCAGCUCUCGGAGGGACUCUCUAGGAAGGGUUAACCUUGUUAGAAAAAAUGUAGGCAUAGAGGCACACUAAAACCGUAUGGGUUUGCUUUCUUUUGUUUCAUUAAACAAAGAAGUUACUGAUUGUGUUUAUUUUCUUUUUGUAUGUUUUGAAAAAUCUUUGUUUCAAAAUGGAGAACCAUUAAAGCUGUAAGCUGUGAGCAAAUACUGCUCCUCCUUGUGUGUGUUUAAGAAGAAAUGCAGCCCAGUGGAACAGUGCUGGAUGUACAGUGAAAAUCAAAACACAUCUGCUUUUUCAAGAGCCUUUUUCUGUCUCUCUUUCUACCCAUAAUUCCUUCUGAAAUAUGCAUGCCUGGCAAGACUCAAAAUGGAUUGUGUUCAAUUACAUAAUUUUGGAUGAAAAUGUAGGGGGGGGUUUAAGUUACAAAAGGGCUAUCUGUGUACUUGUUUUACAUCCUUUUCUUUCAAGGUUUAUAUAACAAUUAGAAAAAUACCACACAUAUUGCCUAAGGCUUAUAGGACAGACAUUAGAUUUUUUAGUAUACAUAGUGUAAAAGGUUUGAGUCAUUAAAUGCUUCUAAACUUUUGUAUUUACUAAUUCAAAAUUAGAUACUUAAAUUGUUUUCUUUUUAUGAAACGUGUUGGCUUCAUCUUUCAAUUUACAAACACCUUAUUGGUCAAUAACAGACCAGCAAAAUUUGUCAAGAUCCCCAAGCUCUUAAAAAUGGAGGAUCCCUCACUAACACUUUGUAUCAAGUAAUUGCUCAUUCCUUUUGUAAUAAAUAAUAAAUGCUGAA